CGUAUCUGUCCGGACGGAAGCAGGAAGCAGGAGCGUAGGGCCGCGCUUGCGGCGCUGCUGGCUGAAGCUGUGUGGGUGGGGGUCGGGCCGAGGCGAUGGCAGAGAAGUUUGACCACCUGGAGGAGCACCUGGAGAAGUUCGUGGAGAACAUUCGGCAGCUCGGCAUCAUCGUCAGUGACUUCCAGCCCAGCAGCCAGGCCGGGCUCAACCAAAAGCUGAAUUUUAUUGUUACUGGCUUACAGGAUAUUGAUAAGUGCAGACAGCAGCUUCAUGAUAUUACCGUACCGUUAGAAGUUUUUGAAUACAUAGAUCAAGGUCGAAACCCCCAGCUCUACACCAAAGAGUGCCUGGAGAGGGCUCUAGCUAAAAAUGAGCAAGUAAAAGGCAAGAUCGACACCAUGAAGCCCUGGUUCCACGAAGAUGGGGAUGAGGAUGGUGACGUUGAGAAGUCUCCCUGGUACAGAACAGCAUGCUUAGAUGAGCUCAUGCUCAGGUUUGCUGCAAAUUAGCAAAGGUUCAGCUAAGAGUCAGAUGCAAACAUAGAAAUUAAUUUUUCUUCUGCAACAGCAAUGCUAAGCUGUCUGCCCAGACCGUGGUAGCUCCUCGCAGGCAUCAACCAGGACUCAAGCUCACCUGUCUGCUCUGCCAUCCUCAGCACGGACUCUGUCCUCACAUUACAAGAUGGCUGCUGCACCUCCAGGCAUCAUGUUUGCAUUCCAGGCAGGAAUAACGUAGAAGAGGGAGGGCAAAGAGCAUUCCAGACCCAGCCUCAGUGUUUCUAACCACGGACAUCCUCCCAGGCAAACCAGAUGCCUUCUAUGCGUAUAUUCAGGAAGCCCAUCCUGGUCUCCAUUCCCUAAAGCUGCUCUCCUGCUUGACUUCAGCCACACCCUUCCGCCACCCUCCUCCUCUGCCUGCUAGCCCUUCGGCUCUCCAGAGAGUGCGGCUCAUGGCUUGUCCCCCCAUUGAUCCUCCUUCACCUCCUGCCUGUGUCUCCCGUGCCUGACGACGAGCUCACCUUCCUGCCUCGCUGUGAGUGCCUGCUCUGCCAGCCCUGCUGAUGCCGUGAGUUUCCUCUGCCCUCCGCUGUGCCGCACGGCACAGCCCAUCAUAGCACUUUGCUUGCCUGGAGGUCUGCGAGCCUUCUCAGGGGAAGGAGGGGGCUUUUCCCCCUUGGCCUCACUGUAUUCAUUGAAUUGCAUGAAAUUGGAUUACUCUCCAGCAUUGCCUGAGUCCAGUGUUGAG